rnacentral:rRNA from 1 species
UACGGAGGGUGCGAGCGUUGUCCGGAAUCACUGGGCUUAAAGGGAGCGUAGGCGGGCUGCCAAGUCCGGGGUGAAAUCCUCCAGCUUAACUGGAGAACUGCCUCGGAUACUGGAAGUCUCGAGGAGGGUAGGGGCAAGUGGAACCGUGGGUGGAGCGGUGAAAUGCGUUGAUAUCCAUGGGAACUCCGGUGGCGAAGGCGGCACUCUGGGCCGUGACUGACGCUGAGGAGCGAAAGCGUGGGUAGCAAACAGG